GUCUACAGCCAUGCUACCCUGAACAAGCCCGCUCCUGUCUGAUCUCAGAAGCUAAGCAGGAUCAGGCCUGGUUAGUACUUGGAUGGGAGUCCACCUAGGAAGACCAGGUGCUGUAGGUG
rfam:Pteropus alecto contig27926, whole genome shotgun sequence.